GGGGAUGUGGCUCAGUGGUACAGCACUGACCUAGCAUGUGAGAGACCCUGGGUUCGAUCCUCAGCACCACA
rnacentral:tRNA from 1 species